CCCCCCCCCCCCCCCCCCCCCCCCCCCCCCCCCCCCCCCCCCCCCCCCCCCCCCCCCCCCCCCCCCCCCCCCCCCCCCCCCCCCCCGGCCCCGCCCCUCCCCUGUCAGUCACCCUGGGACCUCCCCCGGCCCCGCCCCUGACCCGGCCCCAGCCCCGGCUGCGCACCCACCGCUAACGCCGCCCGCGCAUCAUCGCCGCCUUGUGGGCACAGCCCGGUACCGCAGCCGCUCCUCGAGUACAAUUCCUCGAGCCAUUCCUUUGUCGAAAUAUCGCACAGGGAAAAGCCAAAACUGCACAUCCCCAGUGAGACUGAAAUAAAGGGGCCCGGAGACCGGCUGCUUCAUAAGGACUUUUUUAGAGAUCAGCUCUGGGUGGGGAACCCGAACGGCUGCGCACACCUCUGCUGCUCCCGAAAGGCGACACGGAGGAGAAGAAACUACUCAGCUCUGUCUCCACAAGCAAAGCUGGGUCUUUUACCCUCAGGAAUCGCUAAAAACAUUGGAAUUGCGUGUUAUCGUAAGGGGAGGUCCUGAUGGUAGGGUGCGAUUCAGAUCACAGUGUGGCUCCGGGUGCUGACCUUGCCUUCUCCGUUAUUUUUUCCAGCUGCGGAACGCUAUUUUAAGUCUUAGAUGUUAUCUGGGCUCGUUAUUUUAGGGGUUUUAGCUCUGAUGCUGUCCCAGCAGUCUCUGAGUCCUUCGUUUGCAUGUGCUCCACUGACGUCACUCCUCCUCCUCUGUCACAGGCGGCAAUUUAGGGAGGCGGCGAGGGCAUUAACCCGACGCGAGGGGAAAGGGAUAUGGGAGUUCCUAGGGGCUGAUAGCAGGAAAUCUGUGAGCCGAGCCGAGCCGAGCCGAGGGGGGGGGGGGGGGGGGGGGGGGGGGGGGGGGGGGGGGGGGGGGGGGGGGGGGGGGGGGGGGGGGGGGGGGGGGGGGGGGG
rnacentral:lncRNA from 12 species